rnacentral:rRNA from 1 species
UACAGAGGGUGCAAGCGUUGUUCGGAAUUACUGGGCGUAAAGGGCGCGUAGGCGGUCUUGCAAGUCCUGUGUGAAAUCCCUCGGCUCAACUGAGGAACUGCACAGGAAACUGCUUGGCUUGAGUUCGGGAGAGGGAAGCGGAAUUCCGGGUGUAGCGGUGAAAUGCGUAGAUAUCCGGAGGAACACCGGUGGCGAAGGCGGCUUCCUGGACCGACACUGACGCUGAGGCGCGAAAGCUAGGGGAGCAAACGGG